rnacentral:rRNA from 1 species
GGAGGAACGGGUAACUGUCUGAGUGGCGGACGGGUGAGUAACGCGUGGGCAACCUGCCCCAUACCGGGGGAUAACAGCCGGAAACGGCUGCUAAUACCGCAUAAGCCUACAGUACCGCAUGGUACAGCAGGAAAAACUCCGGUGGUACAGGAUGGGCCCGCGUCUGAUUAGUUAGUUGGCAGGGUAACGGCCUACCAAGACAACGAUCAGUAGCCGGCUUGAGAGAGUGGACGGCCACAUUGGGACUGAGACACGGCCCAAACUCCUACGGGAGGCAGCAGUGGGGAAUAUUGCACAAUGGGGGGAACCCUGAUGCAGCAACGCCGCGUGAGUGAAGAAGUAUUUCGGUAUGUAAAGCUCUAUCAGCAGGGAAGAAAAUGACGGUACCUGACUAAGAAGCUCCGGCUAAAUACGUGCCAGCAGCCGCGGUAAUACGUAUGGAGCAAGCGUUAUCCGGAUUUACUGGGUGUAAAGGGAGCGCAGGCGGUACGGCAAGUCCGAUGUGAAAGCCCGGGGCUCAACCCCGGGACUGCAUUGGAAACUGCCGCACUAGAGUGCCGGAGAGGUAAGUGGAAUUCCUAGUGUAGCGGUGAAAUGCGUAGAUAUUAGGAGGAACACCAGUGGCGAAGGCGGCUUACUGGACGGUAACUGACGCUGAGGCUCGAAAGCGUGGGGAGCAAACAGGAUUAGAUACCCUGGUAGUCCACGCCGUAAACGAUGAAUACUAGGUGUCGGGGCACAACGUGCUUCGGUGCCGCAGCAAACGCAUUAAGUAUUCCACCUGGGGAGGACGUUCGCUCGAAUGAAACUCAAAGGUAUUGACGGGGACCCGCUCACGCGGUGGAGGCGAUGUGGUUUAAUUUGAAGCAACGCGAAGAACCUUACCAGUCCUCGACAUCCUGCUGGCAGCCCCGUAACGGGGGAAUUCCUUCGGGACAGCAGAGACAGGUGGUGCAUGGUUGUGGUCAGCUCGUGUCGUGAGAUGUUGGGUUAAGUCUCGCGACGAGCGCAACCCCUAUUUCCAGUAACCAGCAUUUCGGAUGGGGACUCUGGUGAGACUGCCGGGGAUAACCCGGAGGAAGGUGGGGAAGACGUCAAAUCAUCAUGCCCCUUAUGGGCUGGGCUACACACGUGCUACAAUGGUGGUGACAGAGUGAGGCGAACCUGCGAAGGGGAGCAAAGCACAAAAAAGGCACCUCAGUUCGGAUUGUAGUCUGCAACUCGACUACAUGAAGCUGGAAUCGCUAGUAAUCGCAGAUCAGAAUGCUGCGGUGAAUACGUUCCCGGGUCUUGCACUCACCGCCCGUCA